rnacentral:lncRNA from 1 species
UUGUCGAGCGUUUUCCGCUGACGGAGCCCUCACCUCAGACACCGGCGGUAGGGCUGGAUGCGGGCCCGGCCCAGGACCGGUCUUCUGUCCUCACACCGGGGAGGACCACGCAGGAAGGAGCUGAGUCAGAGAGACCGUGUGUAAUUUGCUCAGCGUCACACAGAUAGUAAACGGCAGAGCCGCUCUUCCUCCCUGUCCCGCCAGCUCCUGCCUUCUGCUGUCUUGGAUCUCCUAUGCACGGGAAACCUGUUGAAGACGAGGUCUCACUGUGUUGCUCAAGCUGUCCUGGAAGUCCUGGACUGAAGUGAUCCUCCCACCUCGGCCUCCCAAGGUGCUGGGAUUACAGGUGUGAGCCACCAUGCCCAGCCAAAACCUUGAUUUUUCUGUCACCCCCUCCACUGCACCCUGAGAAUCACUGCUGGUGCUAAGAAAGGCAGGCAAGGAGUGUGAGCCCUGAAUCCAUCAGAAGAAACUCAGGACCCCAAACAUCUCCCUCUUCUUUUAUCCCUAGAAUGGACUUAGAGGAAACCGAAGAAAUCCCAAGCCACACCAAACAGGACCUCAAGACUCUCCCAUUUUUCUAUCAUCAGGGGCAUGUUUGGUACCUCUGGCGAUUUGCGAAAUGACCUUCUGACCCCAGAACUCCGAGUCAAACCCUGUGCCACACCCUUCCCAGGGCCCAGUGGUACUGCAUCAUCUGUUGCAAUCAGCUGCCGAGGCUUCACCACUGGUAUUCCUAUGAAAAAGCAAGUGUACCAGCUGUCAUCCAUCCUCGUUCUGAAGUCUCAGCUGUCUUUGGGGUUGCUACCCUAUUCUUCUGGGGCUCCACCAUAAAAGUUCUCACCAGUAGUCACCAGUUUGGACUUAUCCUCUUCAUCACCAACUUCAUCAUCUUCCACACUUCGGCCAGGAAAGAAAAAGCCCAUCAUUCUGUGGAAGAACUGGUGUGUCAGCUGGAUGGUGAGAGGCACCACAUUUACCUAAAAAGGAAAAAGAUUCAAGAAGCAAUUAAGCUCAGAUACCAUCAUCAGUUUACCUACUCCUAAUAUCGUGUAACACACAGGUGGCUUUUGAAUGUCCCUUGUUCCCAGGUCCCUAAGGGACUGCUUACUAACCUCAAAAUGCUCCUUAACAGAGAUACCCCCAACAGGGGGCCGAACUUUGCUGAAGAGGCGGAGAGCUAGCUGUCGCCCAGACUGGCAGGAGCUCUGGGGCCGCAGUACUACCUGUAGGAUAGAGAGUAAAGAAGAGCCCAACCCAAUGUCCUUCCUGCCAUAAAGCAACCCACAAAUCCUCUGCAGAAUGAGAGGAGAAGCAAUGGUACUGCUAAGCUGGGCAAGCUUUCACCCUCUCAGAUCACCACAUUGUUUUCCAUAGUGGAUUUAUACUGAAGGGCCGUUAUAAAUGCCCCGUGCUAAAAACAUGCAAAUGGACUAGGAAAGGGGAAAAAAGACUUGCCUUAUAGACAGCAUUGGGGAGGAGGUUGUUCAUGGUAAACCAGCCCAACUCCAGAAGAUGUUCUGCUGUGUCAUCAGACUUAUUCACCUAUAAAGACAGAUUUUGCCCCAUCUACUAUAAUAAACCUUUCUCAGAAGUCUACUAG